rnacentral:tRNA from 1 species
UACUCACUUGGUGAAAAAUAGGUAAACACGAUGGAUUUAAAAUUCAUUCUUAUUCAAAGUUAUUGGUUCGAGUCCAAUAGUGAGUAU